rnacentral:rRNA from 1 species
UACGAAGGGGGGCUAGCGUUGCUCGGAAUCACUGGGCGUAAAGCGCACGUAGGCGGUUUCUUAAGUCAGGGGUGAAAUCCUGGAGCUCAACUCCAGAACUGCCUUUGAUACUGGGAGACUUGGAGUCCGGGAGAGGUGAGUGGAACUGCGAGUGUAGAGGUGAAAUUCGUAGAUAUUCGCAAGAACACCAGUGGCGAAGGCGGCUCACUGGCCCGGUACUGACGCUGAGGUGCGAAAGCGUGGGGAGCAAACAGG